CAACGAAAAGAAACAAACGCUUUACCAAGGAUUUCAACCCCACUUUUCGAUUUGGCUGAUAGGCAACUUCACCUAAAUAAAAGGAAAUACUACCAACGGCCACGAGUCAUUGGGUUCAAAUUUACAGGAAAGGAAAACAAAUGUAUCAACUUUAAAGAGACAAAGUUGCACAAAGACAAACUACAAAAUGUAUUGUGUCCAGUAGCUUCAAAAUUGUCUCAUCAAUUGUUGUUGGGUGGCCAUGCAAGGUCGCCACAAAGGAUGGCCCAAGAACAUUGGGGUUGAAAAGUUUCACAAUGUCUGGGAUGGAAUGGUAAGAUGAGAUAACAACAAACAUCAAAGUGGCAAACAAGUAUUUACUUUCUCAGAAGGUGCCGUGUAUGGAAGAGGCCAUCGUACCUGAGGUGGGCACCGUGGGUGAAGGAGUCAUAUCAGGGCAGUGGAAGGGUGCAUGCCGAAAACCUUGUGUGUCGUAUUUUUUCUUGAUGUUUCUGAAAGGGAAAAGCCACAAUCAAGUAAAUACAGCCGUAAAAAAAGAAAAAGUCAAAUAUUUAAUAUUAAAAGGUCAAACAAAACCAUACAAAAAUUGUGCUAUUUUUUAUCUUUAGUUGUGCAUGAAGACAUACAUCAUUCAUUUUCAACAUAUUCCCCACACUAUGGUAUUAGAAAUGCUGAAAUGAAUGAAGAUUUUAUUUUAAGGUUACACAAAAAUCCUUAUUGAAUCAGAUGCAAAUGGCUUGGAGCUGCUCUAAAACAGACAAACCUACAUAACUAGAUAUUCCAGUCUGUUAUGAAACCACACAGAUUUGAAGCUCUUCUUGGCUGUAAUACUUCAAGCAUUCAUGAUAUUCAUUCCACCAGUUUCCUUAAGAACACAUAGGAUUGGUCAUAAAACUCAAAUAUGCAAAGGGAAAAGAAUAUAAAUGUACAGAAAAAUGUAAUCAUUAAAUGCCACAAAAAUGAUUAUUAAAUGUGAGAUAAAAAGAAUAGUCUUAUAGAAUUUUUUUCCAGGCACUCACCUUUAACACUGCAAAGCAAAAGAACGGUUAU